rnacentral:lncRNA from 1 species
UAACAACUAUCCUUCUCUGUUCCAGGUCAUGUUUAUAUUACUAGAACCCAGGAUUCCAGUCUCAAGGUCAAGUCUCCAGCCCAAGGUCUUUCCAUUGUAUCUCACAUGCCAUACUGCCUUAUGUAAUUCCUAUGAAAAACAUAUCAUAAACAUUCACCUAUAUCAAGUAUAUCUUAAUACUUCCUUACUGGAACCAGAGGAUGGCAGUGAAUUAUGGACAGAUGUUAAUAACAAUAAUUAUGCUUGUGGAAAUACUUCUUGUGUUGUCAAAGUUGAAUUAUAAGUGGCCCCAUGGUCUGCCCCACCCUAGUGGUUGGUAUACAUUCCUACCCUGAGUGUGGGAGGAUGUUUGGCAGCGUGGAAGCAACAAGAAAAUUUGUAGUCACACAGGCCCUGGUUGGAAUCUUAGCUCUGCCAUUCUGUCACUUUGGAUAAGUAACUUCACCUUUGUUAAUCUCGGUUUCCUAAUCUGUCCACAUGUUGAAUCAGCACUCAUCAUCUUUCUCCUCAAGCCUCCUCCCCUCCCUCUUCUCCCUGCUACAAAGCACUGACUACCAAAUUGCCCAAGGUAGAAACCCAAAUGUCAUCCUUAAUUUCUCCCUCUUGUUCACAUACCAAUCCAAUUAUGAGUUUGAUGAUUUUAUCUUCUGAAAUCUCUGUUCUCUCUACUCUACCCAAAUUCACUUUUGCCUGGACUACUGCAAUACUUACAUGUGAUCUCCCUACCUCUAAAUUUGUGUCCUCCAAUCUAUUUCCUACACAGCAAUUAGAGUGAUCUUUUCUAAAACCAAAUCUGUUAAUAAUAUUGACCAGAUUACAAGUUCUAAUGGUUUCUUAUAGCCUAUAUGAUAAAAAUCCAAAGUCCUUGCCACGAAUUAUUAGGCCUUCCCUGUAAUGAUCUCUGUCUUGGCUGUCAUUACUUCCUAACUUUGUUCUCUCUGCUAAAAUUGUUCUCUUGGUCCUUCAGACAUCUUGUGUGUUGACUCUAGGUUAUUGCACAUUCUAUUCCUGCUGUCUGGAAUGUUCUUACCUACCCCUUUCCUUUUCUUCCACCCAAUUCGCCAAGCAGAGUUCUUGCUGUUCUUCAGGUCUCUACUUACCUAUCAUAUUCUUGAAGGAAUCCUGCCUGACCCCAAGUUUGGGUUAGAAGCCUCUUGUUUGUGUUACUAUAGUACACUAUGCUUACCUCUUAAAUUCAUAGUCGUUUAUUUUCUCAUUUGGCCUCCACUAGUAAUCUAAACUCUAUAAGGAAAGGGAUAGCACCUUGCUUACCACAGAACACAUAGCCCAG